rnacentral:rRNA from 1 species
GACGAACGCUGGCGGCGUGCCUAACACAUGCAAGUCGAACGGAGUUAAGCCCUUCGGGACUUAACUUAGUGGCGAACGGGUGAGUAACGCGUGAGAAACCUGCCUUUCAGUGGGGGACGAACAGUUGGAAACGACUGCUAAUACCGCAUAAAGUUAUUUGGGGCAUCCCCGGGUAACCAAAGAUUUAUCGCUGAAAGAUGGUCUCGCGUCUGAUUAGCUAGUUGGUGAGGUAACGGCCCACCAAGGCGACGAUCAGUAGCCGGUCUGAGAGGAUGAACGGCCACAUUGGGACUGAGAUACGGCCCAGACUCCUACGGGAGGCAGCAGUGGGGAAUAUUGGGCAAUGGGGGGAAACCCUGACCCAGCAACGCCGCGUGAAGGAAGAAGGCCCUCGGGUUGUAAACUUCUUUAGCAGGGACGAAGAAAUGACGGUACCUGCAGAAAAAGCAACGGCUAACUACGUG